rnacentral:rRNA from 1 species
UAGGGAAUCUUCGGCAAUGGACGAAAGUCUGACCGAGCAACGCCGCGUGAGUGAAGAAGGUUUUCGGAUCGUAAAACUCUGUUGGUAGAGAAGAACGUUGGUGAGAGAGGAAAGCUCAUCAAGUGACGGUAACUACCCAGAAAGGGACGGCUAACUACGUGCCA